UGUGUAUGAUGAAAUAAACCAACAGACGACCCUGAAUAACGAAGUGUCAAAAGAUCAAAUGUCAGUGUCUACUGAUAAUGGUGAUCACUAUGAUGCCAUAUGCAUGGAUGUUGCAAUACAAAGUUCAGUGAAUGAUGGGUAAACUCAUAGAUCAAAAAUUAAUGCAGACAAGACACAUUGUUAGAAACCAAAGACUGGGGUUGUGUGAAUUAGAAUAGUAA
rnacentral:lncRNA from 1 species